CUCCAUCCUGGUCUCCGGGGUGUUGUGGGGCCUAAGCCCCCAAGGCAAAUUCUGUACUGCCAGGGCCGACAGUAGGGAGGGGGUAUGCUUCCUGUGAGGAGCCAGCUGUGGGCCUGAGCACUUGAAUUUGACCACCAAAGUUUAUUCCAGGGCCACCAUAAAAGUGAGCAAGGCGGCUGCAAAGAGCCACAGGCAGCUUUAUUUCCUUGAAACAAAAACGAAGGCAAGAAAGAAUGUCAAAGAGGUUGAUGUCCAGGAAACUCUUAGGGUCUCCCAACAGAGGCUUCUGAGAAUUAAUAUUCUUCCCCCUAAAAGUCAGGCAUGAAGAUCAAUGUUUUGUUUCCAGUUUUGGUCUGACUUUUAAUUUUUCAACGACUUUUUAAAGAUCCUAGCAACUGGAGGUUGCUGCUGGGGUCAAGGAAAGAAGGCCCUAGUUGCUGAGGUCAGCAAGGCAUUGAUUGGCAAGAAUGCCCAUGGUGUGGGCUGGCCCCUUCCCUGCCCAACCGUAGGUCCAGGCCCCCUCCAAAGCGUACACUGAGUUGUUCGCCCCAGCUUGCACCCCAGGAGUGCUUCCCCCAACAUGAGACUCAGUUGUGGCCCCAAAUCAGUCCCUAAGAGCCCUGGCAAGCCUCACUCUUCGGUGCGGAGGUGGCUUCCCCUCCCCCACCUCAUGGGUGCCUGUGGCCCUUCCACAAUCCUGGAGUCCCAUCUUUCAACCGAAAUCCUCCAGGGCAGAACCAUCCAUCCUGCCUACCUCACUGGCUCUUGGGGGCCUCAGUCACCACCUCCCGCCUGCCCGCCUGCCCGGCCCCUAGCAGGCAUCUGCUUCAGUCUGGGCAGCUGAUGCGGUACCCUGACCAGGGCCGUGACAGACUCCAGGGAUGUUCCAGUCCACACACGGAUACCAGAAGCGGCUUCAGAAGGGGGCGGUAGCUCCCGAAUUCCCAGUUCCCGCCUGGGACACCCCACACACGGUGUUGGCUGGCCUUCCGGCUUGCCCACCUCCCGAUUCUAGAGAGCAGACUGGGGUAACCGGGAAAGGGUCCCAUCCCACGGACCGAGCACUGGGAGGGAAAGCCAGGAAGGAGAAAAGAGGGGCCGUUAGAGCUCCGGUGGGUUUGGACCGUAACUUCAGUCCCAUGUGGAGUCAGUAAAAGAUAAGCAACGGGCGCGUGAACAACCUCAGCGGGCCAGAGGCUUGGCCCGCCAGGGUGAGCCCCCGUUAGAAAUCGGCAUGCACUUUCUGCGCGAAUUUUUCUCCCUUAGAGCAAUACUGAGGCCUUUCAUAAUCCCUUUCAUAAUCCCAGCCGGAGAAUUAGAAAGGGGUGGGAUUGCUGGUUCUUGGCCCCCACCUCUUCUCAGCCUUGGCCAUCGCCCCAAGGCCAGGGGCCCAAGACAGGUCACCCAAGCCGGCCGCCGCUGCUCCGAGGUUCCUCGGGCUCCUGGAGGGGAUAGGGGCAGGACAAGGGCAGCUCCUCUGCCCCCACAGCCCCACCCACCUUCCUCCGCUGAGGGAUUGUCCCAGGAGGCUAGCAACGCGACCCCAUUUCUCCCCAUAAAAGUCCCAUUUUACGAGCCAGUUUCACUGGGCCCCUCACCAAAUGCUCUAAAAUGAGGGAAAUGCCUUAAAAGCAGUCUGAAAUGGAGCCACUGCCAUUGGACCUUGGUGUCCAAACCCAGUCGCAGCAGCACAGAAAUGCCCCUUCUGGGCGGGAUUUGCCCUGUUGGGCCACCCGGAUCCCUGGCCUGGCCGCCGCUGAGCCCAGCUUGGCCGGAGCCGCCAUUCCCUGGCUUUAGCGCCUACUUAGGCUCGGACCCAGUCCGCGCAGAUCAAAGUGAGCUCGCGGCAUUUUUAUGAGAUGAACUUCGGUGGCUCUUUACUUGUAAUCAGAUGCCUAGGUCGAAAAUGCAAAAGGGAACAGCCCAUCAAUCCAAAAAGGAAAAGGAAGAGAGAGAGAGAGAGAGAGAGAAAGAGAGAGAGGGGAGAGUGAGAAGAGAGGAGAGACAGAGAGAGAGGGAGAGGGAGAAGAGGGGACUGGGGUGAAAAAAUUCAGGUGACACAUAGCAGGAAGAUCGUGGUCACCAACAAAAAAAGACCCCUUGCUUGCAGCAGAAAUGGUUUGUGGGUCUCUCCCAGCCUCCAGGCCCCGCCAUCUGCCUGCACGCUUCGCUCCGAUUUCCGGGGGGCCAGGAAACCUGACUCGCCUGUGUUCUGAAGCUUGAUCCGAAAGCUUCCACAGUGUGGACGCGCCAUGUGGGGCGAGUGUGGCCGCCUGCACUCUCUUGCCCCGGCGGGGAAGUCGCCUUCGGCUCAGGAUUUAAAAGUCUCUCCCAUUUUGCUGCUUUCCUCUCUGCGGUCUUCGUGGUUCUCUCGUCACUGCGGCCAGAAGUUGAGUUACAGGAAGAUUCACCAGAGAUUUAUCGCCUGGCUCCAAACUUGGAGAGCCCCGUUGUCAUAAACAGCCAUCUAUUGUCUAGACUUUUAUCUCCGGGCCCCAAAGAGUCUGGUGUUUACAAGACUAGAAAUGCUACAGCCAUGUCCCGGCAGAAAGAAAGGCUGAAAUGGAGGACCGACGCCUUCCUUAUAAGGUGUCCCUGGGGAAGAGGUGCAGAAAAGAAGGCAAUUUGGGAUCAAAGGAGGCUUCACUCUGGACCCAGUGCCCACUUGGGGAUGACAAUGAACUUGGUUUUGCUCACUGGGGCCUGAGCCAGCACCAACCUGGUAGAAAAAGCAACCACGAAGCCAGAGAGGGAAGAGAGCUCCAGACAGCGAUGAAAAGGAACCACGCGGUUAAAAAAGGGAAGAUUCGGGGGAGUGGAGAGGGAAUUAUCCGAGAUCACAGCACGAACGCCCCAGAAGGGGAGAAGGGAGAAGACGGAAUAACCGCGCGCGGAUGCCAGGACAGCACCGGGCCCUGGCCCUGGCUCCGAUUCCCACCCGCCGCUGCCCCACACGCCGAGGGCUGGGCCCUCCAAGCCCCCCCUCGCGGCCGCCAGGGCUUCCUCGCUCUCCUUAUCAUCUCCAUCUUUAUGACGAGGCUUGUUAACAAGACCAGCGAGCUGGCCACGCACAUCUAUCUCAGCGCUCACGCUCAGCCAAGCAUCGGCCGGCGCGGGGACUAGCGAGGCACUAAUUAAUUGAUUCCUCUGGACAGUAAAAUAUGGCAGCGUCUACACGGAACCCAUAAACAAUAUCUCUGCGGGGUGUGAGUGCAUUGUCUCUCAAAGAAUUUUUCCAUAGGCGUGUGUCAAGUAGCGGAUUUUUCGCCACUAAAGAAAGACCCAAGUGGGACUCAUUUCUCCGGGGCGAGACAGAGCUAGCUCAGUGUCAGAAAAUGCUUUAAGCUGUUACUGCCUCUCCGAAAGUGUUUAGGAGUGGAUUUUGUUGAGAAAAACUUGGGUCAUGUGAUAACUUUUCCCUGCUGCUGGUGUAGACCUGGCCAACCUUAGGGAUGGGAGUCAGAGCUGAGGGGCUAGGUGGGCCAGAAUCUUCUCCCUGGUUGGCUGAGAGGGAGUGGAGCUGCUCUGUGGUUUGAGAGAGUCGUAGAAGAGUAGAAGACCAGGUCCAGCCUUUGCUUUAGGCUGUCUCUCUAGACUCCAGAUUUUAAAAAUAAAUUUUAAAAAAUGUAAACAGACUUUGGCUUUCAGGAGCAGUGCGUGCCCAGUGCACACCUGAAACUUGCCUGUUACCCCAACCUGCCUGUUACACACCUUGUCAGGCCAUUGCAUUUCCCUCCCGCCGCCCCCUCCCCCCCACUUUCCAACUGGCAGCCUGGAGUAACUGUAAUAUAUUUACCUUAGGUCUAAAAGAACAAGUCCUGAGACACGGAGGGAAGGGAAGUAACCUAAUUAGAUAAUGUUAAUUCUUUAUCAGGCUGUGAUUAUUCAGUCAGACUCCGCUGCAAACAGGACUUAGGAUUCUAAAUAUAGACCCUGACUUCAAGAGAUGUAACAGGGAAAUAGAGAUCAGCGACCAGCGAUUAUUGUAUAAACAGUCCAUGUAGACAUAGAAGGGGUUUUCAAAAGAUGGAAAUAAUAGGAAAACAGAAAAGAGGCUCCGUUGAUGGAGACUGUCAUUGCCAAAGCAUGAGCUUCCUCCAGCUACUGUUUGCAAAACAGCCAAAUAAACGCGUAUUAUAAAUACAAUAAUAUGCGAGCUCAAAGAAUUUACUUCCCUGGAUUUGGUACCUGCACACCAUGUAAACAAACUAAUUUACAGGACACGUUUUUCAUACAUUGGGUAGAUAUUCAAUUUGUAUAUAUAAUGAUGCCUUUUCCGUGUACUUUUUAUGUGGCUACAUUAAUAUCGGGAUGCAUUUUCCAUGCAUGAUUUUAUACGUCCUAUGGAGUGUAUACAUCUAUGUAGCUCAAGAGAUGCGGGACUGUGUAUUCCCGGUGUGGGAUGGAUAUGCGAGUGUACUGUUUAUGUAAAUGAAUCUUUACAUGUGGUGUUUAUCCAUGCUAUGUGUAACCUUUUCCCAGAAGGUUGCUUUCCCGUGCAAAUAAAAGUGCCUCUGUCUGUA